AAAAUCAAGCUGAAUUCGGAUGAGCAUCUGUAUGGAGGUCACGGACGGCUGAACCACAACACAGAGUUCUUCACAGAGGCCCACGGAUUCAAUGGACGCCAAAACUCCAUAAAGGUCUACAUCCCCUGCAGAACAGCUAUUGUCCUGGCCAACGAGGAGAUAGAUUACUGUUAUUAGAGGAUGAUUGUCUCCGCAGAGACCAGGAUGGAGAAUGGAUUCCAACCUCAAACUGAGUGUUAACAAUCACCUUCAUUUUAAAGUGUCAACCUUGCACACCACCCAAACCCACUUGUUGUGUCCAACUCUUUUUUUCCAAAUUGUAAAAAAAGCUUUGUGUGCUUUCAAACACCAUCUGCAACCUUAGAAGCAGUGUAACCCCAUUUACUACAGAUUGGUCCAUUUGGGUAGUGGCCAACCUAACCAGCAGCUAGAUGCUAAAACUUAAAACCCUGCCGAGUCCAUCCACCACAAGCCAGCAGCCAUUUAUAGGCUCUGCUGAAUUUGGCGUGUCAUCUGAAACACAUGACUGGCGAGUGUGGCAGUGGAAAGCAAUACAGCAAGCAUUCAAACAUUUCAAAAGCUCAGAGAAAAAGGAAUCUUUUUGAAUAUUCUGUAUGUGGAAAUGUAUUUCAUUUGGUUCAAUCAUUUAAUAUUUUAAUAAAGAUGAUAUUAUUGUGUCAAAGACACAAAGAGAUUUAAAGUAUUACCAACACUUGAAAAUCAGAAAGUCUCAUAUAAUUGGUGAUCCAUCUUUGUUAAUUUGCAUUUUGGGACCUUGUACGUAUUAAAAUAUUGCAAUUUGCACAGAGUAAUGAGCUGCUUUGAAUAAUGUAUGAAUGUGUAUCCAAACCAGUUGUGUUGUAAUGUUUGAAUUCAGCUACUGGGAGCAUUUAUGUGGAUAUUUACGGCCCUGUUAUGAAGCCAGUAAUUUGAAGCUAAAACAAAGUGAUAAAAUCACCUAAUAUUAUCACAGUGUGUUUCAUAAUGUACUAGUUACAUGUUUAACUGAAUUACACAGUUUCUUGUCCACCUAACGAAAGGGUUAUGAAUGGUGUUCUCCUACUGUUUAUCCAUUAAAGUAUACGUCAUGUGUUUUAAAGUUGGAAGAGUUAUACUCAAAUAAUACUGUGACUGCUGGAAACAACACAACAUUUCAUUAAAAUGGCCGUCCACAUGAGAUUUCAUUUCUUGAAGUUAUGUUUUUCAAAUGACUGUUAUAAUUAAUGUUCUUUUUCUAAAAGUCCCUUGUUGCCACGUGAAUGGAUGUCUUUUGGCCAACUUUCAUCAUUCUCUGCACGUUUUAUCAAAGCAAUACUGUGAACCGCCCUGAGUUUGGGCGACCCAGAUAAAGCUAAUGCCUUGAUUUACUGCCAUGGAUAUUGUAAUUCUGUGAUCCACACCUAGUGCAUUAAUACAGAUUCUCAGCCAUUUAAGCUGUGUAUUGUAGCAUAUGGCAGGUUUUGAUCUGCCUUCCCUGCAGCUGAAAGAAACAAAUUGAUAUGCAGGGCCAUCAUUCUGUGUUUAGCCAAAAGUAUCAUGAACAUGUCAUUUCUUUUUGUGUAGCACCAAAGCAUUCAAAAAUGCUUUUUCUCCACCUCUCCAAAAGUACAGACAGAAUGCGUCUGAAUACAUUUCAAGCACCGAAGUUGUGAGACUGAAGUGGAGUGUUAAAUCAUCCCUCAUCUGACCUAAUGUCAUUGUCGUUUUACUACUGCCAAAAUGCAUUUGUUCUCAGAAGUGAAAAUUGAUGUCUGAUACACAGUAACUAUUGCUGCAUAUUUCUUCCAUUAUGACUAAUGAUAAUAAAUCAGUGGCUGUCGGGCCAUGAGGAAAAUCUG